rnacentral:rRNA from 1 species
AGAGUUUGAUCAUGGCUCAGGACGAACGCUGGCGGCGUGCCUAAUGCAUGCAAGUCGAGCGGGCUACGAUCUUCGGAUUGUAGCUUAGCGGCGAACGGGUGAGUAACACGUAGGUAAUCUACCCUUCAGAGGAGGACAACCUCAGGAAACUGAGGCUAAACCUUCAUACGUUCACUGGUAGGGAUACUGGUGAAGAAAGAGUUACCUUAGUGGUAGCUGCUGAAGGAUGAGCCUGCGGCCCAUCAGGUAGUUGGUGAGGUAACGGCUCACCAAGCCGAAGACGGGUAACCGGUCUGAGAGGAUGUCCGGUCACACUGGGACUGAGACACGGCCCAGACUCCUACGGGAGGCAGCAGCAGGGAAUCUUGGGCAAUGGGCGAAAGCCUGACCCAGCGACGCCGCGUGGAGGAAGAAGUCCUUCGGGGCGUAAACUCCUGGACUGGGGGACGAGGAAGGACGGUACCCCAGUAGAAAGGGACGGCUAACUACGUGCCAGCAGCCGCGGUAAAACGUAGGUCCCGAGCGUUGUUCGGAUUCACUGGGUGUAAAGGGCGCGUAGGUGGUUGUCUGUGUCUCAUGUGAAAACUCAGGGCUCAACUCUGAGAUUGCGUGGGAAACUAGGCAGCUAGAGGACGGUAGAGGGGAGUGGAAUUCCCGGUGUAGCGGUAAAAUGCGUAGAUAUCGGGAGGAACACCGGUGGCGAAGGCGGCUCUCUGGGCCGAUCCUGACGCUGAGGCGCGAAAGCUAGGGGAGCGAACCGGAUUAGAUACCCUGGUAGUCCACGCUGUAAACGAUGGAUACUAUGUGUAGGAGGUAUCGACCCCUUCUGUGCCGGAGUUAACACAAUAAGUAUCCCGCCUGGGGAGUACGGCCGCAAGGUUGAAACUCAAGGAAUUGACGG